CGCAUACUUGGAUGGUGUAGUCAUCCACUUGGAGCAGUGGGAAGACCACCUGGACCCUCUCCAGAGGGUGCUGUCUGAACUCCGACGGGCUCACAACCAACCGCAAGAAACCUAGGACUAGCAGAAGCCAAGCACCUGUGUUACCAGAUUGGGCGUGGCCUAAUUAUUCCCCAAGAAAAUAAAAAAAGUGAAGCCAUCCGGAACUACACCCAGCUCAUCAACAAGACUCAGGUACAUGCUUUCCUGGAAUUGGUGGGCUACUAUAGAUGUUACUAUAGAUGCGGUAGCAACACAUCCAGCACCAUCACACUGAACACUGGGGCCCCCCAAGGAUGUGUGCUGAGCCCCCUCCUCUUCACUCUGCUGACCCACGACUGCACACCGUCACACAACUCCAACCUCUUCAUUAAGCUUGCGGAUGACACGACUGUGGUGGGUCUCAUUAGCAACAAGGAUGAGACAAACUACAGGAGCGAGGUGAGCCGCCUGGCUGGGUGGUGCAGUGACAACAAUCUCUCUCUGAACGUGGAGAAGACGAAGGAGAUUGUUGUUGACUUCAGGAGAGCGCACACUCAGCAUGUUCCUCUGACCAUCAACGGUGCGACUGUGGAGAGAGUGAGCAGCACCAAGUUCCUGGGUGUGCACAUCACAGAGGACCUCUCCUGGACCGACAACACCGCAGCACUGGCCAAGAAAUCACAACAGCGUCUCUACUUCCUCCGCAAACUGAGGAGAGCCAGAGCCCCACCCCCCAUAAUAUGUACACCUUUUACAGAGGCACCAUCAAGAGCAUUCUGACUAGCUGCAUCACUGUGUGGUAUGGUGCCUGCAACGUGUCCUGCCGGAAGACUCUGCAACGCAUAGUGAGAGCAGCUGAGAAGAUCAUUGGUGUCUCUCUCCCCUCCCUCCAGGAAAUUUACGGAAUCCGUCUCACUCGCAAAGCCCUCUGCAUCGCAGGUGACCCCACCCACCCGUCACACAGCUUCUCCAGUUAUUGGUCUGCUCACUACCUCAUUC
ensembl:lncRNA